rnacentral:rRNA from 1 species
AAUCCAUAGGUUAAUGAGGCGAACCGGGGGAACUGAAACAUCUAAGUACCCCGAGGAAAAGAAAUCAACCGAGAUUCCCCCAGUAGCGGCGAGCGAACGGGGAGGAGCCCAGAGCCUGAAUCAGCAUGUGUGUUAGUGGAAGCGUCUGGAAAGGCGCGCGAUACAGGGUGACAGCCCCGUACACAAAAGCGCAUGUGCUGUGAGCUCGAUGAGUAGGGCGGGACACGUGGUAUCCUGUCUGAAUAUGGGGGGACCAUCCUCCAAGGCUAAAUACUCCUGACUGACCGAUAGUGAACCAGUACCGUGAGGGAAAGGCGAAAAGAACCCCGGCGAGGGGAGUGAAAAAGAACCUGAAACCGUGUACGUACAAGCAGUGGGAGCACAGGUUUACCUGUGUGACUGCGUACCUUUUGUAUAAUGGGUCAGCGACUUAUAUUCUGUAGCAAGGUUAACCGAAUAGGGGAGCCGGAGGGAAACCGAGUCUUAAUUGGGCGUUAAGUUGCAGGGUAUAGACCCGAAACCCGGUGAUCUAGCCAUGGGCAGGUUGAAGGUUGGGUAACACUAACUGGAGGACCGAACCGACUAAUGUUGAAAAAUUAGCGGAUGACCUGUGGCUGGGGGUGAAAGGCCAAUCAAACCGGGAGAUAGCUGGUUCUCCCCGAAAGCUAUUUAGGUAGCGCCUCGUGAAUUCAUCUCCGGGGGUAGAGCACUGUUUCGGCUAGGGGGCCAUCCCGGCUUACCAACCCGAUGCAAACUGCGAAUACCGGAGAAUGUUAUCACGGGAGACACACGGCGGGUGCUAACGUCCGUCGUGAAGAGGGAAACAACCCAGACCGCCAGCUAAGGUCCCAAAGUCAUGGUUAAGUGGGAAACGAUGUGGGAAGGCCCAGACAGCCAGGAUGUUGGCUUAGAAGCAGCCAUCAUUUAAAGAAAGCGUAAUAGCUCACUGGUCGAGUCGGCCUGCGCGGAAGAUGUAACGGGGCUAAACCAUGCACCGAAGCUGCGGCAGCGACACUGUGUGUUGUUGGGUAGGGGAGCGUUCUGUAAGCCUGUGAAGGUGUGUCGUGAGGCAUGCUGGAGGUAUCAGAAGUGCGAAUGCUGACAUAAGUAACGAUAAAGCGGGUGAAAAGCCCGCUCGCCGGAAGACCAAGGGUUCCUGUCCAACGUUAAUCGGGGCAGGGUGAGUCGACCCCUAAGGCGAGGCCGAAAGGCGUAGUCGAUGGGAAACGGGUUAAUAUUCCCGUACUUGGUGUUACUGCGAAGGGGGGACGGAGAAGGCUAUGUUGGCCGGGCGACGGUUGUCCCGGUUUAAGCGUGUAGGUGUGUGUUCCAGGUAAAUCCGGUUCACUUUAACACUGAGGCGUGACGACGAGGCACUACGGUGCUGAAGCAACAAAUGCCCUGCUUCCAGGAAAAGCCUCUAAGCAUCAGGUAACAUCAAAUCGUACCCCAAACCGACACAGGUGGUCAGGUAGAGAAUACCAAGGCGCUUGAGAGAACUCGGGUGAAGGAACUAGGCAAAAUGGUGCCGUAACUUCGGGAGAAGGCACGCUGACACGUAGGUGAAGUGAUUUACUCAUGGAGCUGAAGUCAGUCGAAGAUACCAGCUGGCUGCAACUGUUUAUUAAAAACACAGCACUGUGCAAACACGAAAGUGGACGUAUACGGUGUGACGCCUGCCCGGUGCCGGAAGGUUAAUUGAUGGGGUCAGCGCAAGCGAAGCUCCUGAUCGAAGCCCCGGUAAACGGCGGCCGUAACUAUAACGGUCCUAAGGUAGCGAAAUUCCUUGUCGGGUAAGUUCCGACCUGCACGAAUGGCGUAAUGAUGGCCAGGCUGUCUCCACCCGAGACUCAGUGAAAUUGAACUCGCUGUGAAGAUGCAGUGUACCCGCGGCAAGACGGAAAGACCCCGUGAACCUUUACUAUAGCUUGACACUGAACAUUGAGCCUUGAUGUGUAGGAUAGGUGGGAGGCUUUGAAGUGUGGACGCCAGUCUGCAUGGAGCCGACCUUGAAAUACCACCCUUUAAUGUUUGAUGUUCUAACGUGGACCCGUUACCCGGGUUGCGGACAGUGUCUGGUGGGUAGUUUGACUGGGGCGGUCUCCUCCUAAAGAGUAACGGAGGAGCACGAAGGUUGGCUAAUCCUGGUCGGACAUCAGGAGGUUAGUGCAAUGGCAUAAGCCAGCUUGACUGCGAGCGUGACGGCGCGAGCAGGUGCGAAAGCAGGUCAUAGUGAUCCGGUGGUUCUGAAUGGAAGGGCCAUCGCUCAACGGAUAAAAGGUACUCCGGGGAUAACAGGCUGAUACCGCCCAAGAGUUCAUAUCGACGGCGGUGUUUGGCACCUCGAUGUCGGCUCAUCACAUCCUGGGGCUGAAGUAGGUCCCAAGGGUAUGGCUGUUCGCCAUUUAAAGUGGUACGCGAGCUGGGUUUAGAACGUCGUGAGACAGUUCGGUCCCUAUCUGCCGUGGGCGCUGGAGAACUGAGGGGGGCUGCUCCUAGUACGAGAGGACCGGAGUGGACGCAUCACUGGUGUUCGGGUUGUCAUGCCAAUGGCACUGCCCGGUAGCUAAAUGCGGAAGAGAUAAGUGCUGAAAGCAUCUAAGCACGAAACUUGCCCCGAGAUGAGUUCUCCCUGAGACUUAGAGUCUCCUGAAGGAACGUUGAAGACGACGACGUUG